GAGACAGAGACGAGAGGAGGGAGGGAACAGGGAUGCUGCCUUUUAGUGAUAGCGGCAGGAGCCGACAGGAGGACGGGGGAGAAUCGAUGGGAGAGGCAGAAAUUAGCAGCGGAGCGGAUUCCCCCGACAGGUGAAACCGUCACUCGGCUGCGGGUGAGAAACUGUGAUCCAGUGGAUCCGACCGUGGGAGGCCACAGACCUCCCGCCUGUCACGGCAGCGCGGUGAAUCACGCAUCCGUCCACGAGUCCGCGCAUAUGCUCUCCCCCUCAUCCGUCCUGUCCCUCCGGCCGUUCCUCGCCCGUCUCCCUUCUCUCCCAGGCUCCUCCCCCCGCUUCCCUCCGUAUUCAUUUUACAAUCAUCUCUUCAUUCCACCCACACCCUGCCCCCCCCCCCCCCCCCCCCCCUCCCUGCCCCCCCCUUCCUCCCUCCACAUCUCCUCUGUCAAUUUCACACAAUCCCAACAGCUUCUUGCUGUUGCUACGCUUCAGCGUGUCCACAGGACAUUUAACACCAUUUUAUCCAUUUUAUCCUCAGAGUGCGACGAGCGAAGGCGCAGCGGAGAGGAGGAAGAGGAGGAAGAGGAGGAAGAGGAGCAAACUUGCAUGACUGUGGUGCCUCCGUCACCCGCGUCUGUCUGAGACCAGGCGCGAGCGCCUCGUCCUGGGGUUCAGGACGCAGAUGAUGAACAGAUCCUGACGUGACGUGAGAGAGAGGAAUAAAGAAAAAAAAAGGAAAAAAAAGAAAGAGAGGAGCGUUUGCGAGCUUCUGGAAGGAGAAGGGAGGAGAGAGAGAGCAGUAUGAGUCAGAGCAGAGCAGCCACAGCGCUGUGCGUUCUGCAUGCAAGACAAGUGCUACGGCGGGAACAAUGAGACAGAUACAGGGGGUGGAAAUAAAAAGGACCUGACCGGGAUCCAGCAGUCACUAGACAGAAGGACAGGAUGAGGGCAGGGGGGUGUAGGCCGGGUGAGUAAGCCUGCUACAGGGGGAGGAAGUCCAGGAAGUGGACGCUUUGGUGCGACUGGAGCUGAGUAAAGGUCUGCAUCAGGACGGCGAAGGACGGAGGGACAGAGUCUGUGAGGAAGAGGGACGAGGGUCCUGCGUGACUGCGUGCCGCCGCGGGGCGAGGGGCGCCAUUGGCCGCGUCGGACACCACAGAAGAAGAGCGGCGCGGAGCAGGAGCAGCGGAGGAGCCGGACGUGGAGCCAGAAGAGGCGGGGACGACCUCCGGCGCCCGAGCAGCGAGACAGACGCCCGGGAGGAGCCCCAGUAGAACCAGAGGUCCGGCCCACAGCCGGUUCAGCGGUGACGUAUUGAUGCUGACAGGCCACUCUGGAACCAGGAGGGCGAACGUGGGGCGAGGAGGCGAGGGGGCUUUUGACAAGCUGUUAGAGCGGUCACGUGACGCUGAGAAGUUGACAUCGAGACAGGAGGCUUGAAUCAGCAGGGACGGGCUUUCCUCUCUGUGGACUCCAGCUGUGCAGCAGCGUGACAGGACCGUAGCAGAAGCAGGUCCAGCUGUGUGGUCGUUUUUGCUGCCGGACACCCUGUACCUGCGUGGACUGCGACUGACGGGGAAACGGAAACGCCGCGGAGGCUUCUAUUAAUGCUCCCUGCUCUGUCCCGCGCUCGCUCGCGUCUCAUUACAAAGAUUUGGCCAGUGGAGGUCUGCUGUCAUGGCUUGAGGAAGGAGACGUGCGGAGCGUUGAUGCGCAUCAGCAUGAAGGAUCCUUUAAUUGGAGGCAGGAUGCGUGCGUUGAUUGAAUGAAGUCACGAUGGCUCCGAAUGUCACGAAGGCACCAAGGUAGAGGCUGAACCACCGCUCCCUCCCUCCCUCCCUCCGCGCGCCGCGCCGCGCCAUCAGCACACGACGACGCGAUGCCUCCGUCUCCGUCCAGCUGCGCAUAGACCAGCUGCGCGCGCGCGAGCGCACCGGGACGCGGGGGACCGUCGAGGAGCUCAGCUGUGUCUGCGUGCGCGACCGUCGGCGCGGAGGUGCGCGCGCGUGCGCCGAUCUUCGGACCCAGCUGCGUCCGAGCGCGUUAUCCGAGCGCCGCCCCCCCUCCACCACCACCACCACCACCACCGGAGCCGCGUGCGCUCGCGUGUGUGCGUGUGCGUGCGUCGCCUGGAUUCUCCCCACCAGCGACAGAGCUGGACCUGAACAGCGGUGGUGAGCGGGGGGACAGGGAGGGGGAGGAGGAGGAGGGGCAGGAGGAGGAAGCCAGCAGGACAGAGGAGAAGAAGAGGCUGACAACAUGCUCGGAUAAAGAGAAGACGGGAAGGAGUUUCUGGCUGCCCCCCUGGUGCAAUGUGUGGCGUCGCGCCCUGCGGGGGUGGGGUUCUGUGAUGGUAACCAUGGUCCCCGGCAGCCGCUAUGUCUGCAGCGCUCACGCUAGAGAGGAAGACUCCACCAACGACCGCGAGGAACGCAUCCUGGCCGUGCUGGGCAUCAUCGGCACCAUCCUCAACCUGUUAGUGGUCAUAUUUGUCUACAUCUACACCUCCGUCACUUAAGGCGUCAGUCCCCUCUUUAAAUACUGAUCCACUUGGAGGGCUGCCUGCGCAGAGCAGGCGCUGAGACGGGAUUCUGCUGGAUAGUAGCCAUAUGUAUCGACACCCGCAUCACUGCUUAUCCCUUCAAGACUGCUUGGCUUUCACCCCAUGACCUCUGCUGCAGGUGGAAUCAUUGACAGAUACGCCCGCAGACUUCCAAGAUUACAGUGCUCGUCUGUAAUCGGGCUGAUCCACUGGGACAUAUUUGAGUAUUAGUGAACUGCGUCUUGUCUUCCACCUGGUUAGCUCUGUGAUAGUCUACGCGUUCUGUUUGGGUUUGUUCUUUGCUUCUGUAAGAGAUCGAACAUGUCAUCACUACCAGAUGGACCUUGAGGGGCCUUGACCAAAUUAGCUAAUAAGAAAGAAAAGGCCCAUAUGUUGUUAUGACUAAAAGUGAAUUAUCAGACGAGGGGUGUUUCUACAACUGGGGACCCUUAAAUCUACCUGACCUCAACAUCAGUACAGACGUAAAGAUACUGACCUGCUGAAUAUUAGUUUCUGGACAUUAGAACCUCUUAGGGCGCUUUACAUGGACCUGAGGUGCCGGUAUGUGAGCUCACCGGAGGAGAGGUUCCUGGCUGUGCUGGGUGUCAUUGGCAUCGUGCUCAACCUGCUGCUGCUUCUCUUUGUCUACAUGUACACGUCCAUCUGAGGCCCGGGUCCAGGCACAGGGCGGGUCAUGGGGUCCGGCGUGUGCUCCCCAGCCACAGACGUGGUCCACACCUCAUGACGCUCUGGACUCUGUGCCUCGUGAUUUUGUGAUAUUCUAAUGCUAGUGGGUGAUGAGAGGAUCUGAAGGUGAUACUGUAAUGACUUCGUUCAAAGACUAGUAUUUUUGUGGAACAAUUGUGUCCUGAAGUUGGUGUUUUUGUACAUACAUAAUACUCCCUCACAUGUUUGCAUAAUGAAAUGUUUACUUAAGCUGAUAUUGGCAUAUUUCGGUACUUUGUACCAAGCUGAGGUAAAGAGUGUGGCGAUUCCACGCCGGCUGAUGUUGAAAAGGCACAGUCAUGGAACUGGAAGGUGACGAUGUCUCUGCACGUCAGCAGAGAGCUCACUGUGGACAAUGGGUCCCGCAGGACAAGAAUCGAUUUCCUGGGGUCACGCUUCUCAGAGCCGCGGACGGAGCAGCGUCAGCGAGGUCAAAGCCCGGCCUCCGGCAAAGUCAACCGGAUCCACAGGAAACACUUUGGAGGUGCAACGUGAAGCAACGCAACGGUCACAAAAGGGGGGCGGAGAGUUCGGUGUCUUCUCCACCAACAAACUCAAGCCGGAGAAGACAUAGUAGAGACGAGUUUCUAGUUCCACGCAGCACAAUGCUUUUCUACACUCGCACCUGUGAAACGGACCUUGUUUCACACAGAGGCUCCGUGAACAGUUAGCGACUGCUCGGCUCGUGUGGCUACGUGUACGUUUUUGAUAAUCGUUGCCUAUAUGAUCUUUUGUCACGUCGUGUAACGUUUUGUUUUUGGUAUCACAUUUCCAGCUGAGUGUGUUAUUAGCCGCUCCGUGUGCAGAGCGGACGGAGGGACCAGUUCAGGUACAGGCUCAAAGACUGUGGGCUUAAACUGGGCUUUAGAGCUUUAAGCUGAAAUAUGCAGCAUCGGUCCUAAAGCGGAGAGUCUGUCAGACACACUCACUGAAGAGCAGGGACAACCUGGUUCCUUGACUGCUCUUUUAGAUGCCAGUAACUAUAGUAUCAUCAUCUAGUUUCUCACCUGAAGCUCCCAUUAAGUAGAAAAACAUUAUUUAUAUUUAAUGAUAAUAAGAAAAAGGAUUUGUCAAUGGGACCUCACAUUUCUAAAAAUGGCCUCGCUCUCCAAAGGAUGUAAAACUUUAAUUGCCCCCCUCCCUAGCACACACACACACACUGGUUACUCGCAUCCUCCUUUGUGUGAUUAAUUUUACACCAUCCUUCAGCACACAUCAGCAGAGCGGAGUGUGAGCGCGCCGAGAUCGAUGUGACACUCACAUUUACUUCCUGUCAGAUCUGAUAACUGUGCGGCGGGGUUGUGGAGCUAAAUCUGGGUUUCAGCCCCGCACCAAAGCGCAGGAUGAGCCACCGCUGUUUGGCAAAGACGCCCGCUGUCGGACCGUGACAGUCGGGCCGCAGCUGAGCUGAAGCAUUAUUGACCCAAGUCUGAAAUAGCUGAAAGUGCUGGUAAUGCUCUUGUUAGAGGUUCACGAAUGCGAGCAAACAAACAAAACACACGAGCAUAGUUUAGAUUAUGCCUUAUAAGGUAUUGAUUGGUAUUUAGAGCAAAAUGGCAGCCGAUUAUUACUAUAUUAAAUACUGACAGAUGUAGCACAACUGAUGACUAAACAUCUGAAACCAAUGAACAGAGAGUCAUAGACGUUACUAGUUGAACAGGACCGAACUGUUGGUGAAUGAGUCCAACUCUGAGCGGCUGCAGCACCUGAGCUGGGUCGCCGCUUUUAGCUGAAACCGAUUUUAAUAAAACAAACUCGGUGCCAGUGAGGGCAGCGAGCCUUGGGGGGUUGAGCCGUUGCCAUCUGCUGUCCCAACAGAUACGCAGCCACCUCCUCAGCAGGAGCGCACACGCACCCGAACGCCCCGCAGGCCUCAAAUCAAACAGAAAACACACAGCUUCAUGAUUUAUUUGAUCCCUGUGCCCAGUCAUUUUUCAAUAAUUUCACGUAAUAAAUGGGCUAAUAUGCGCACACACAUUAUUUUAUGGACAUAGUCUUCAGCGCCAGAGGACAAACAGAUGCAUCGGUGUGCACCUGGGACCUAUCCACGGCCUCCGGCAGGAACGGGACUGUUCGCAGCGUCCAAACGCGUGAGGGGGAGGUUUAUUCAGAGUGCAGAUCCAAACGUGCUCGUUGUAAAUCUCGUCUACGUUCUGCCAAUGCAAAAGCUAGACUGCAGCCUCAUUGGACGCAAACUGCCCGAGACCAGAAAAGGGGGAAAUAGUGGAUUAAUAAUAGACAUUUUAACAUUGUUCUACAACUAAAGAGUGUGGAGCCGCUGAGUUCAAGCCAUUCUCAGAAAAUGAGACUGAAUAUACGAGAACGCUCACUGCCUUUUUUGUACAAAUUUGGGAUAAAUAAAUGUCCGUGUUGGUUGGUUUUUUAACUGUGUAUUUUAUUGCUGCACAAAAACACCCGGAUUGAGAAAAAGGUUGUGCCAUUCAUGCGGACAGACAGUGUGAAAUAUCAUCCAUCGACCAAACGUUCAUGCGACAUGCUGAUUAAUUACAAACUAACAUUCCAAGAUAUUAUUAGCAGCAAGUGGGAUAUUGUCUAUAAAACACUGUGUAUUAACAUUAUCUCCAUUCCUGAUUAAGCUUAUAAUGGAACCGUUUGUCACAAUCAAAUGCUGUGAGAUCUGGUGUAAUUUCAUGUAAUCUCUAUUUAUAUAAAUGUAUGUAUAUAAUGUAUACUUAUAAUUAUGGCAAUAAAAUGAAAAAAAAAACA